rnacentral:rRNA from 1 species
CCUACGGGAGGCAGCAGUGAGGAAUCUUGGUCAAUGGGCGUAAGCCUGAACCAGCCAAGUCGCGUGAGGGAUGAAGGUUCUAUGGAUUGUAAACCUCUUUUAUAAGGGAAUAAAGUGUGGGACGUGUCCUGUUUUGUAUGUACCUUAUGAAUAAGGAUCGGCUAACUCCGUGCCAGCAGCCGCGGUAAUACGGAGGAUCCGAGCGUUGUCCGGAUUUAUUGGGUUUAAAGGGUGCGUAGGCGGUCUUUUAAGUCGGCGGUGAAAGUCUGUGGCUCAACCAUAGAAUUGCCGUUGAAACUGGGAGGCUUGAGUAUGUUUGAGGCAGGCGGAAUGCGUGGUGUAGCAGUGAAAUGCUUAGAUAUCGCGCAGAACCCCGAUUGCGAAGGCAGCCUGCCAGGCCAUGACUGACGCUGAUGCACGAAAGCGUGGGGAUCAAACAGGAUUAGAUACCCUAGUAGUC